rnacentral:rRNA from 1 species
GACGAACGCUGGCGGCGUGCUUAACACAUGCAAGUCGAACGGUGAACCUCUUCGGAGGGGAUCAGUGGCGAACGGGUGAGUAACACGUGGGCAACCUGCCCCCGUCUCUGGGAUAACUCCAAGAAAUUGGGGCUAAUACCGGAUGUUCACCGCUUCCCGCAUCGGUGGUGGUGGAAAGGGUUUCCGGCUGGGGAUGGGCCCGCGGCCUGUCAGCUUGUUGGUGGGGUAGUGGCCUACCAAGGCGACGACGGGUAGCCGGCCUGAGAGGGUGGCCGGCCACACUGGGACUGAGACACGGCCCAGACUCCUACGGGAGGCAGCAGUGGGGAAUAUUGCGCAAUGGGCGGAAGCCUGACGCAGCGACGCCGCGUGGGGGAUGACGGCCUGCGGGUUGUAAACCUCUUUCAGCAGGGACGAGGCGCAAGUGACGGUACCUGCAGAAGAAGCACCGGCCAACUACGUG